UACGAACUGUGCAAACGUUAUUCGGAAUCACUGGGCUUAAAGGGUGCGUAGGCGGCUUAUCAAGUAGGGUGUGAAAGCCCCCGGCUUAACCGGGGAAUUGCGCCCUAAACUGACGAGCUGGAGUGGGACAGGGGUGUGUGGAACUUCCGGUGGAGCGGUGAAAUGUGUUGAUAUCGGAAGGAACGCCGGUGGCGAAGGCGGCCUGCUGGGCAGUUUUGCUGACACUGAGGCGCGACAGCGUGGGGAGCAAACAGGG
rnacentral:rRNA from 1 species